rnacentral:rRNA from 1 species
GAUGAACGCUGGCGGCGUGCCUAAUACAUGCAAGUCGAGCGAACGGACGAGAAGCUUGCUUCUUUGAUGUUAGCGGCGGACGGGUGAGUAACACGUGGAUAACCUACCUAUAAGACUGGGAUAACUUCGGGAAACCGGAGCUAAUACCGGAUAAUAUUUUGAACCGCAUGGUUCAAAAGUGAAAGACGGUCUUGCUGUCACUUAUAGAUGGAUCCGCGCUGCAUUAGCUAGUUGGUAAGGUAACGGCUUACCAAGGCAACGAUGCGUAGCCGACCUGAGAGGGUGAUCGGCCACACUGGAACUGAGACACGGUCCAGACUCCUACGGGAGGCAGCAGUAGGGAAUCUUCCGCAAUGGGCGAAAGCCUGACGGAGCAACGCCGCGUGAGUGAUGAAGGUCUUCGGAUCGUAAAACUCUGUUAUUAGGGAAGAACAUAUGUGUAAGUAACUGUGCACAUCUUGACGGUACCUAAUCAGAAAGCCACGGCUAACUACGUG